rnacentral:rRNA from 1 species
UUUUUAAAUGAGAUCUUGUAUGAAUGGUUGAACAAAAGAAAGACUGUCUUUAAAAUAAUAUUUGAAUUUAACUUUUAAGUGAGAAGGCUUAAAUAUUCUAGAGGGACGAUAAGACCCUAUAAAGCUUUAUAUUGUAAUUAUAUUUAAUUGAAUUUUAUAAAUAAGAAUUUAAUUUAAUUGCUAUUAUUGUGUUGGGGAGACNAGAGUAAAAUUAUAG